rnacentral:rRNA from 1 species
CCUACGGGAGGCAGCAGUGAGGAAUAUUGGUCAAUGGUCGGGAGACUGAACCAGCCAAGCCGCGUGAGGGAUGAAGGUACAGAGUAUCGUAAACCUCUUUUGUCAGGGAACAAAGGCGGGGACGUGUCCCCGGAUGAGUGUACCUGAAGAAAAAGCAUCGGCUAACUCCGUGCCAGCAGCCGCGGUAAUACGGAGGAUGCGAGCGUUAUCCGGAUUUAUUGGGUUUAAAGGGGGCGCAGGCGGUCUGUUACGUCAGCGGUGAAAGCCCGGGGCGCAACCCCGACCCGCCGGUGAAACUGGCAGGCUCGAGUUGGAGAGAAGUAUGCGGGAUGCGCGGUGUAGCGGUGAAAUUCAUAGAUAUC